rnacentral:rRNA from 1 species
AGAGUUUGAUCCUGGCUCAGAACGAACGCUGGCGGCAGGCUUAACACAUGCAAGUCGAGCGCCCCGCAAGGGGAGCGGCAGACGGGUGAGUAACGCGUGGGAAUCUACCCAGCUCUACGGAACAACUCCGGGAAACUGGAGCUAAUACCGUAUACGUCCUUCGGGAGAAAGAUUUAUCGGAGUUGGAUGAGCCCGCGUUGGAUUAGCUAGUUGGUGGGGUAAUGGCCUACCAAGGCGACGAUCCAUAGCUGGUCUGAGAGGAUGAUCAGCCACACUGGGACUGAGACACGGCCCAGACUCCUACGGGAGGCAGCAGUGGGGAAUAUUGGACAAUGGGCGAAAGCCUGAUCCAGCCAUGCCGCGUGAGUGAUGAAGGCCCUAGGGUUGUAAAGCUCUUUCACCGGUGAAGAUAAUGACGGUAACCGGAGAAGAAGCCCCGGCUAACUUCGUGCCAGCAGCCGCGGUA